GAUGAACGCUGGCGGCGUGCCUAAUACAUGCAAGUCGAGCGAACGGACGAGAAGCUUGCUUCUCUGAUGUUAGCGGCGGACGGGUGAGUAACACGUGGAUAACCUACCUAUAAGACUGGGAUAACUUCGGGAAACCGGAGCUAAUACCGGAUGAUAUUUUGAACCGCAUGGUUCAAAAGUGAAAGACGGUCUUGCUGUCACUUAUAGAUGGAUCCGCGCUGCAUUAGCUAGUUGGUAGGGUAACGGCUUACCAAGGCAACGAUGCAUAGCCGACCUGAGAGGGUGAUCGGCCACACUGGAACUGAGACACGGUCCAGACUCCUACGGGAGGCAGCAGUAGGGAAUCUUCCGCAAUGGGCGAAAGCCUGACGGAGCAACGCCGCGUGAGUGAUGAAGGUCUUCGGAUCGUAAAACUCUGUUAUUAGGGAAGAACAUAUGUGUAAGUAACUGUGCACAUCUUGACGGUACCUAAUCAGAAAGCCACGGCUAACUACGU
rnacentral:rRNA from 1 species